rnacentral:rRNA from 1 species
AGUGAACGCUGGCGGUAGGCCUAACACAUGCAAGUCGAACGGCAGCACAGUAAGAGCUUGCUCUUACGGGUGGCGAGUGGCGGACGGGUGAGGAAUACAUCGGAAUCUACUUUUUCGUGGGGGAUAACGUAGGGAAACUUACGCUAAUACCGCAUACGACCUACGGGUGAAAGAAGGGGAUCUUCGGACCUUGCGCGAUUGAAUGAGCCGAUGUCGGAUUAGCUAGUUGGAGGGGUAAAGGCCCACCAAGGCGACGAUCCGUAGCUGGUCUGAGAGGAUGAUCAGCCACACUGGAACUGAGACACGGUCCGGACUCCUACGGGAGGCAGCAGUGGGGAAUAUUGGACAAUGGGCGCAAGCCUGAUCCAGCCAUACCGCGUGGGUGAAGAAGGCCUUCGGGUUGUAAAGCCCUUUUGUUGGGAAAGAAAAGCAGCAGGUUAAUACCCCGCUGUUCUGACGGUACCCAAAGAAUAAGCACCGGCUAACUUCGUG